GUCGAGCGAGCAGAACCAGCAGAUUUACUUCGGUAAUGACGCUGGGGACGCGAGCGGCGGAUGGGUGAGUAACACGUGGGGAACCUGCCCCAUAGUCUGGGAUACCACUUGGAAACAGGUGCUAAUACCGGAUAAGAAAGCAGAUCGCAUGAUCAGCUUAUAAAAGGCGGCGUAAGCUGUCGCUAUGGGAUGGCCCCGCGGUGCAUUAGCUAGUUGGUAAGGUAACGGCUUACCAAGGCAAUGAUGCAUAGCCGAGUUGAGAGACUGAUCGGCCACAUUGGGACUGAGACACGGCCCAAACUCCUACGGGAGGCAGCAGUAGGGAAUCUUCCACAAUGGACGCAAGUCUGAUGGAGCAACGCCGCGUGAGUGAAGAAGGUUUUCGGAUCGUAAAGCUCUGUUGUUGGUGAAGAAGGAUAGAGGUAGUAACUGGCCUUUAUUUGACGGUAAUCAACCAGAAAGUCACGGCUAACUACGUGCCAGCAGCCGCGGUAAUACGUAGGUGGCAAGCGUUGUCCGGAUUUAUUGGGCGUAAAGCGAGCGCAGGCGGAAGAAUAAGUCUGAUGUGAAAGCCCUCGGCUUAACCGAGGAACUGCAUCGGAAACUGUUUUUCUUGAGUGCAGAAGAGGAGAGUGGAAUUCCAUGUGUAGCGGUGGAAUGCGUAGAUAUAUGGAAGAACACCAGUGGCGAAGGCGACUCUCUGGUCUGCAACUGACGCUGAGGCUCGAAAGCAUGGGUAGCGAACAGGAUUAGAUACCCUGGUAGUCCAUGCCGUAAACGAUGAGUGCUAAGUGUUGGGAGGUUUCCGCCUCUCAGUGCUGCAGCUAACGCAUUAAGCACUCCGCCUGGGGAGUACGACCGCAAGGUUGAAACUCAAAGG
rnacentral:rRNA from 1 species